UAACAGCUGAUGAGCUGGCAUGUCUACAAAAUUACAGCAAACAUCAAAAGGGUUUUGUUACUUAUGCACGUACCAGGCUUCAAAAUGCUCCAGAAACCAGCUAGAUCAAUAGAGGGCACGUACAGACAUCAGACUUAGACCAGUCUAAGUGAAUAUAGAUCAAUCGAAAUCCAUAACUGUACAGAAGUUUGACGCACAUAGACCACAUGCGAGCUGUCAAAUGCAGACGUCUCUCCAUCCCCAGUUCCCACUCAACAUGCUUUUGAUGAUGACACACACUCUGCUGAGCCCAGUUGGGGACUGGAAGUUCCCAGCAUGAGACAAAUAAACAGCUCUUUUCCCCCUCUCCCC